rnacentral:rRNA from 1 species
UACGAAGGGGGCUAGCGUUACUCGGAAUGACUGGGCGUAAAGGGCGCGUAGGCGGUUUGUUUAGUUAGGCGUGAAAUUCCUGGGCUCAACCUGGGGGCUGCGCUUAAUACAGGCAGACUAGAGUGUGAAAGAGGGUCGUGGAAUUUCCAGUGUAGAGGUGAAAUUCGUAGAUAUUGGAAAGAACACCGGUGGCGAAGGCGGCGACCUGGUUCAUUACUGGACGCUGAGGCGCGAAAGCGUGGGGAGCAAACAGG